rnacentral:rRNA from 1 species
AGUGAACGCUGGCGGUAGGCCUAACACAUGCAAGUCGAACGGCAGCACAGUAAGAGCUUGCUCUUACGGGUGGCGAGUGGCGGACGGGUGAGGAAUACAUUGGAAUCUACUUUUUCGUGGGGGAUAACGUAGGGAAACUUACGCUAAUACCGCAUACGACCUACGGGUGAAAGCAGGGGAUCUUCGGACCUUGCGCGAUUGAAUGAGCCGAUGUCGGAUUAGCUAGUUGGCGGGGUAAAGGCCCACCAAGGCGACGAUCCGUAGCUGGUCUGAGAGGAUGUUCAGCCACACUGGAACUGAGACACGGUCCAGACUCCUACGGGAGGCAGCAGUGGGGAAUAUUGGACAAUGGGCGCAAGCCUGAUCCAGCCAUACCGCGUGGGUGAAGAAGGCCUUCGGGUUGUAAAGCCCUUUUGUUGGGAAAGAAAAGCAGCAGGUUAAUACCCCGCUGUUCUGACGGUACCCAAAGAAUAAGCACCGGCUAACUUCGUG